rnacentral:rRNA from 1 species
GUGGGGAAUCUUGCGCAAUGGGCGAAAGCCUGACGCAGCCAUGCCGCGUGAAUGAUGAAGGUCUUAGGAUUGUAAAAUUCUUUCACCGGGGACGAUAAUGACGGUACCCGGAGAAGAAGCCCCGGCUAACUUCGUGCCAGCAGCCGCGGUAAUACGAAGGGGGCUAGCGUUGCUCGGAAUUACUGGGCGUAAAGGGCGCGUAGGCGGACAGUUUAGUCAGAGGUGAAAGCCCAGGGCUCAACCUUGGAAUUGCCUUUGAUACUGGCUGUCUUGAGUACGGGAGAGGUGAGUGGAACUCCGAGUGUAGAGGUGAAAUUCGUAGAUAUUCGGAAGAACACCAGUGGCGAAGGCGACUCACUGGCCCGUUACUGACGCUGAGGCGCGAAAGCGUGGGGAGCGAACAGGAUUAGAUACCCUAGUAGUCC